UCCGUAACGGUUCACUUCACUCCACAGCGCAGGCACCGAAACGCCCCCACUACUGCCGCUCGCCAUCUUGGAGGAGGCGGGGCCGGGCAACCUCUGCCCCGGAACAGGAUGCCCAAGUAGGCCGAGCGGAGGAGGAAGCUGGCGGUGGCUCAGCGUGCAGUGGAAAUUAACAAAGAAUGUGCUUCAACAUAAUAAGAAGGAAACCAAAAGAGGGGAACACAUGGGACCUAGGAAACUGGAGAUCUAAGACUAAAGAAAAGCAAAACGUAUCUCCAAAAUGACACUGGAGGCAGAUCCUAGGACAGCAGUGGUGCAGAAGGCCUAGAGAAGCCAAUCUAUUGGUGUCAGAGGUCUCAGUGACCAAGAUCAGAAGUUGAUCCCAUCAGUACUACAACCCUGCACUGGCUUUCUGAUUUCAGAAGCAACUGGAAAAGAAAAAUGUGGAUAUGAAAAAGAAGACAAAAAUGAGUAAAUAUAGGAAUAAAAUCAUAACAAUCAAUUUACAGAGGUAUAGCUUAUAGUAAAAUUACUUCCAGACAGAAUAUUUUCUUUCUUAAUAUACCCCAAUUUGAAAGACAAACAAUAAAAUAGUAGGCGAUUUUUAAA